CCUACGGGUGGCAGCAGUGGGGAAUAUUGCACAAUGGGUGCAAGCCUGAUGCAGCCAUGCCGCGUGUGUGAAGAAGGCCUUCGGGUUGUAAAGCACUUUCAGCGGGGAGGAAGGCGUUAAGGUUAAUAACCUUGGCGAUUGACGUUACCCGCAGAAGGAGCACCGGCUAACUCCGUGCCAGCAGCCGCGGUAAUACGGAGGGUGCAAGCGUUAAUCGGAAUUACUGGGCGUAAAGCGCACGCAGGCGGUCUGUCAAGUCGGAUGUGAAAUCCCCGGGCUCAACCUGGGAACUGCAUUCGAAACUGGCAGGCUAGAGUCUUGUAGAGGGGGGUAGAAUUCCAGGUGUAGCGGUGAAAUGCGUAGAGAUCUGGAGGAAUACCGGUGGCGAAGGCGGCCCCCUGGACAAAGACUGACGCUCAGGUGCGAGAGCGUGGGGAGCAAACAGGAGUAGAUACCCGGGUAGUC
rnacentral:rRNA from 1 species